UUUCACAAGAUCUUUUCUUCUUUCCUCUCUUUCUCUUUUUCUUAAUUUUCUCCUUCCUUAACCUUCUCUUUUUCUUUUUCCUCCCUUUCUUUAUUUUCAAUUUUUUUCUUUUUUCUCUUUUUUUCUCAACCAUGGCUUUUCCUUCCUCAUCUUUCUUCUCAUUCUCAUUCAAAUUUUUCAUUUCUAUCUCCUCUAUAUUUUUCUCAACAACAACUUCUUCUGUUUUUGUUUCCUCUUCCAACAUCUCUCGCUCUUCUUCUUCUUUCUUUUCCUCAUUGAGAACCUUAUCAUGUGCAAAGAUAGUGGCUUGACAUUCUUCUUUAGGGUUGACUUCAGUAUCAACGUUAAUAAUGCCCAAAGCUCUCAGGGCAUGAGAGUGUUGUUCCUGCAAUAAAUGUGCUUGUUUUUCUCCCAAAGUUUCUUUGCGUACAGGAGAUUGUUUUUGUUGUAAACGUUGUUGGGCUUCUCCAAACGUUUCUUUUGGUCCAGAGAUUACGUACUGCUGCAAGAAUUUUUGGAUGUCCCCCAACGUUUCUUCUGGUACAGAGAAUAAUUCCUGCUGCAACGUUCUUUAACUUCCCCUCAAGUUCCUUUUCGUAAGGAGG
rnacentral:lncRNA from 1 species